GAUCCUGGCUCAGGAUGAACGCUGGCGGCGUGCUUAACACAUGCAAGUCGAGCGAAGCACUCUGCUUUGAUUCUUUCGGGAUGAAGAGCAUUGUGACUGAGCGGCGGACGGGUGAGUAACGCGUGGGUAACCUGCCUCAUACAGGGGGAUAACAGUUAGAAAUGGCUGCUAAUACCGCAUAAGACCACAGCACCGCAUGGUGCAGGGGUAAAAACUACCGGU
rnacentral:rRNA from 1 species